GUGGCGGAUGGGCAUGCGGCGCAUUAGCUAGUCGGCGGGGUAACGGCCCACCGAGGCGACGAUGCGUAGGGGUUCUGAGAGGAAGGUCCCCCACACUGGUACUGAGACACGGACCAGACUCCUACGGGAGGCAGCAGUGAGGAAUAUUGGUCAAUGGGCGCGAGCCUGAACCAGCCAAGUCGCGUGAGGGAUGGCGGUCCUACGGAUUGUAAACCUCUUUUGCCGGGGAGCAAGCGUGCGUUCGUGAACGCGCGUCGAGAGUACCCGGAGAAAAAGCAUCGGCUAACUCCGUGCCAGCAGCCGCGGUAAUACGGAGGAUGCGAGCGUUAUCCGGAUUUAUUGGGUUUAAAGGGUGCGUAGGCGGGAUGCCAAGUCAGCGGUAAAAAUGCGGUGCUCAACGCCGUCGAGCCGUUGAAACUGGCGUUCUUGAGUGGGCGAGAAGUAUGCGGAAUGCGUGGUGUAGCGGUGAAAUGCAUAGAUAUCACGCAGAACUCCGAUUGCGAAGGCAGCAUACCGGCGCCCUACUGACGCUGAGGCACGAAAGCGUGGGUAUCGAACAGGAUUAGAUACCCUGGUAGUCCACGCAGUAAACGAUGAAUGCUAACUGUCCGGUGCGAGUGAGCGCUGG
rnacentral:rRNA from 1 species